UACGUAGGGUGCAAGCGUUGUCCGGAAUUAUUGGGCGUAAAGAGCUUGUAGGCGGUUUGUCGCGUCUGCUGUGAAAUUUCGGGGCUCAACCCCGAACUUGCAGUGGGUACGGGCAGACUAGAGUGUGGUAGGGGAGACUGGAAUUCCUGGUGUAGCGGUGAAAUGCGCAGAUAUCAGGAGGAACACCGAUGGCGAAGGCGGGUCUCUGGGCCACUACUGACGCUGAGAAGCGAAAGCAUGGGGAGCGAACAGG
rnacentral:rRNA from 1 species